rnacentral:rRNA from 1 species
ACGGCUCAGUAACACGUGGACAACCUACCCUUAGGACGGGGAUAAACCCGGGAAACUGGGUAUAAUACCCGAUAGAUCUGGGCUGCUGGAAUGCAUUCAGAUUUAAAACUCCGGUGCCUAAGGAUGGGUCUGCGGCCUAUCAGGUUGUAGUGGGUGUAGCGUACCUACUAGCCUACGACGGGUACGGGUUGUGAGAGCAAGAGCCCGGAGAUGGAUUCUGAGACACGAAUCCAGGCCCUACGGGGUGCAGCAGGCGCGAAAACUUUACAAUGCCGGCAACGGCGAUAAGGGGACCUCGAGUGCCAGGUUACAAAUCUGGCUGUCGCGAUGCCUAAAAAGCAUUGCAUAGCAAGGGCCGGGCAAGACCGGUGCCAGCCGCCGCGGUAACACCGGCGGCUCGAGUGGUAACCGUUAUUAUUGGGUCUAAAGGGUCUGUAGCCGGCCGGGUAAGUCUCUUGGGAAAUCCAGCAGCUUAACUGUUGGGCUUUCAGGAGAUACUGCCUGGCUCGAGGCCGGGAGAGGUGAGAGGUACUUCAGGGGUAGGGGUGAAAUCUUGUAAUCCUUGAAGGACCACCAGUGGCGAAGGCGUCUCACCAGAACGGACCUGACGGCAAGGGACGAAAGCUAGGGGCACGAACCGGAUUAGAUACCCAGGUAGUCCUAGCCGUAAACGAUACUCGCUAGGUGUCGGCCACGGUGCGACCGUGGUCGGUGCCGUAGGGAAGCCGUGAAGCGAGCCACCUGGGAAGUACGGCCGCAAGGCUGAAACUUAAAGGAAUUGGCGGGGGAGCAC